AGGACAUCAGCACAUAGAACCAGUGAAAGGGUCCUCCCUCAUAGUGACGCAUGUCAUAGACUCAGAUUUAUACAAACAAAUGCUGAGCAAACCAUGAAGAGUCUCUGGUAUUUUCAACAAUAUCAUCACAGAGGAACUGUAUUGAUUUCCUUAGCCUGGCAGCAUCUUUCUGCUGUGCUUAAUAGCGAAGGGUGAAUGCUUCAUUUUCUACCAAAACACGCCUUCCACGUGUGGGGAUCUCCAACGGGCGUCUGGAGCUCUUGGCUGGAGAGGCUGCCUCUGCCCCAGUGCCAGGUGCGCUGGAGAAAACAGGCAUGGGAGCACAGGAAGGAUCACGGCUGUCGCACAGGAGGCAUGGAGCUGACGGGACCUCCAGGGGCACAGGAUGGGGUCAGGAUAGGCGAGGACCUUUGGAUGGCAGGAGAUGGCAGAGCAUUGAGAAAGAACAGAUUCUGCGGAGCUGCGAGGAAAAUAAAUAGAGCCAUUCGCCUUCAUCUCCUUGAGCUAGCUGUCAGACUAUAUCGACUAAUAUGGAGUCCGUCUAGUUGUGUAUGAGUCUGUGUACAAUUGCAUGUGUGUAUUUGCAGCUUUGAUCCGGAAGCCUUCUAAAAAAGAAACUGAUGGUUGGCUGCCAUCAACACAUUUCCUUUCCUCCAGUUCUGUAUGCAACCAAGCCUGUGUGUCAAGGGUUCCCCUAAGUGUGGAGCUCCAGUUCCAGCAUCAAAGACAAAGCAUAUCAGAAA
ensembl:lncRNA LINC01255 long intergenic non-protein coding RNA 1255